GCCGUUUAUGGUAAGACGUUGCCUAAUGCCUAGGCGAAGAAAGUACCUAUGUUUUCAAGAACGACAAAAAUUAUCAUACAACCAGAAUACCAAAUAUAGUAUUCAAAUAUUAAAUAGACAAAAAUAAUAACUGUAAAAAGGAAGAAUGAUAAAUAAUCAUUUUCGGAAAUGUCAAGGAAAAUAAUUCAUCAUGAGAUGGAGAAAGAUGUUAAUAUUUUAAUUCAUUAACUGAGACUUGGUUCGCAUUGGGAAUGAUAUUAAUCGUGCUUAAUUACAACCAAUAUUAAAGUUGCUAAAAUCCAAAAUACACGGAUGAUAGCAUGGCAUGAACCUAUAUAUGCAUGACGUAUCACAUACAUGACUAUUUGAAUCUGGACGAAAUGAUAUCUACGAAAAAGGAAAAUUUAGUAAUAUUAAAUGAUAUAAUAAUAAUAUUUUCUUGCAGGAGUAAUUUGAAAUUCAUGUGUAGUAUUAAGACUAUUUUGGUUGAUGGCACUUCUAACUAUUGUAUGAAAUUUUUACAGCAUGUGUUAACAGUAAUUGGCUUUAAAAAUAACAAAUAUGUUCCUGUUGCACUUAGUUUAUUAAAGGGUAAAAAGAAAUUAUUGUACAGAACUGUUACGUCUAUGCUGAAAAUAAAUGGAAAUUAAUUUAAUUUUUAAGCUACAACAUUAAGUUUUCAAUUUAAAAAAAGGAAUUUUUCAAGUUGCAAGUAAAGGAUUCCCAAACUUCAUUAUAAUUGGAUGUAGAUUUAAUUUUAGUCAAGGCUGCUGGAGAAAAAAUGUAGGAUAACAAGAUUGACUAUAGAGUACAAAAAUAAGAAAUAUGAACUAUAUUGGUUAUUAUGUUAUUUUUUCAACCACACCAUGGACAGUUUUGGACAAUAAUUCUGUUUGAUGGAAAAAUAAUGAAAGUGAAACUUUUAAUUCUA